rnacentral:lncRNA from 1 species
CCUGGACCGCCCCAAGCUGUCGCAGACCCGUCUUAAACACAGGAGGCGCUGUUUUCGUGGAAAUCCCCCGGCUGCGAACCUGGGAUCCCUGACCUGGAUCAAGUCUCCGAAGCUGGCAGAGUCCAUUCUGCAUCACCGGUCUUGGGCUUUGAAGAAGCCUAGGAGAAAUUCCGCUUCGGCCAUCACGCUAUGAAAAGUGGAUUUUUUUUUCUUAAGUCAAUUUUUUUUUUUUGAAAAUAUGAGACUUAGUAGGUUUGGGAAGUGGGCUAAAAGAACAUUUGAUAUUGUAAUUGACCCCCCCUUUAAGGUGACAGUGUUUUUCCCCUACUUAAAGCGCCAACUUUUUUGUGCACUAUAAAAGCUAUUACUAUCCAUAAAUUGUUACUCUCGGUAGAAAAUAACCUAGUCUUGCUCGGUGUUAUUGAAGAGCCAAGAGGGUAUUGGAGAAUCACCUCCAGAAGGAACAAGGAAGCUCAUUAGCACUGAAAGUCCCCCGGAUCAGGCCCAGGAAGCUAAGCAUCCGUAUACUUUACAAAUGGAACUAAAGUCAGCUACUAAUGGGAACUUUGCACAAAAGAAUUAGUUUCUGACACACAAUUCGCAGAUACAUUUA